rnacentral:tRNA from 1 species
GUGUAGCUCAGUUGGUUAGAGCAUGGUGCUGAUAACGCCAAGGUUGCAGGUUCGAUCUCUGUGUGGGACA